ACAUGGAAGUUCUUCGGCACAUCGGUGACAGGUGGUGCAUGGUUGUCGUCAGCUCGUGUCGUGAGAUGUUGGGUUAAGUCCCGCAACGAGCGCAACCCUUAUUGUUAGUUGCCAUCAUUNAGUUGGGCACUCUAGCGAGACUGCCGGUAAUAAACCGGAGGAAGGUGGGGAUGACGUCAAAUCAUCAUGCCCCUUAUGACCUGGGCUACACACGUGCUACAAUGGCUGGUACAACGAGUCGCAAGCCGGUGACGGCAAGCUAAUCUCUUAAAGCCAAUCUCAGUUCGGAUUGUAGGCUGCAACUCGCCUACAUGAAGUCGGAAUCGCUAGUAAUCGCGGAUCAGCACGCCGCGGUGAAUACGUUCCCGGGUCUUGUACACACCGAAAA
rnacentral:rRNA from 1 species